GUGUUCUGCAACCAUAAGUCUGUGAAAAUGCAGAUCAAGACUCAGGCUGUAUUUGGCUGAGCCUUGAUCUGUAUUUUCACAGACUUGUGGUUGCAGAACAU